AUGGGACGCAAAAGUGACCUGGCUGACCAGCCACAGGAGGAUGGCAUGAGUGCUGUCCCUGCUGAAUAUGAAGAAGGCAGUGAAGAAGAAGAGCCAUUUGAACGUGAAUUCUAUGAUGAUGAUGAUGAUGACGACAAUGAUAGUGAGUCAGAAACACAGGCUGUGGAUUCUUGUGAAGAUCCUUUGGCAGAAGAGGAAGAGGUUAGUGGUGAGGAACCUUGCGAUGUUGCGGCUCCACUUGAAGACGAGGAUGCCAGUUACGAGGAACCUUUUGUUUCAGAACUCUGUUAUGAGGAAGAAGACAGUGGCGAGCAGGACUCGUAUUAUCCGGAGCCUCUCACUGAUUCAUACAGGAAGCAGCUCUAUGAAGUGGAGCCAUGUGAUGAUCAAGUGGAUCAUGAGUACGAAUUUGUGAAGAAGAAGUCCAGUACCGUGCAGACUAUCAACACGGAACAAAAUAUGAAAGUGGUCCUAAAACGGGCACUGAGAAAGGGCAGCAGCAAUGAGCACAAGGCAGUACCAGUGAUUGAUGAUAUGGAAAUGAAGCCGUUGAAGAAACCUUUAUCUGUCAGGUUUGCUACCGAUGUAUCUUGUUACACAUAUAGUACUGAAAGUUUUGGUCCUGCCAAGUUAGAGAAAAGGAAAGCUCAGUUUGAUGACCAGGACAGCCACUUGCGUAAGAAGCAAGAACACAUACUCCCCUCACUUAAGGAUUGUGGCAAGCUGAAAGAAGUGGAUGACACUAACCUGUAUGUGGGUAACCUCCCAGCUUCUGUGUCUUCUCACAAGCUCAUCGAGCUAUUUCUACCUUUCGGACGAAUUGUCCGAUCAAAAGUGGCGGAUGAUCGUUUCACUGGUGUAAGCCAAGGAUAUGGCUUUGUGAAGUAUGCUGAACCUCGUAGUGCCACAGCAGCUAUUGAACGCAUGAAUGGCCGCCUGGUUGAUGGGAAGACAUUAGAGGUUAGAGUAGCUGGACCUCCAACAUCAGUAUCCAAUCCAUCCAAGCAAUCUGUGUCAGAAACUUGCAGUCUGCCCUCAAAGGAAAUCGACGCGAGCUACUUGUAUGUCAGCCACCUCCCCUUAUCCAUGGACACGCUAAAGCUACUCAACCAUUUUCGGCCGUUUGGGAAAGUAACUGAGAUAAAGGUACCCAAAGAUCACACCACAGGUUUAAGCAAAGGAUAUGGUCAUGUGAAGUACGCUGAUUCUCGUGAUGCAGCUCAGGCCAUCAUCCAUUUGAAUGGAGUUCUUGUUGAGGGUAAAAGGUUAGAGGUCCGGUUGUCUGACAUCUCUCCAACACUGUCAAAUUCAGCUGUGGGAUCACACACCAAUACCAGAACCAUCAAGGAAAUCGACAUGGCAAAUCUAUAUGUCUGCAACAUUCCUGCAUCCAUUGAUACAAAUAAGCUGAUUGAGCUUUUCUUGCCAUUUGGUAAGAUCACCCAUGCGAGAGUGGCGGCAGACCAAGAAGGCGCUCAUUCAGGUAAAGGAUAUGGCUUUGUCAAAUUUGCUGAUUCUCAAUGUGCUGCCGAGGCUAUUGCACUAAUGAAUGGAGCACUGGUUCAAGGGGAGACAUUAAUUGUCAGAGUUGCAGGCCUUUCAUCAUCAGCAUCCUCCAGCUCAGCUGUACAAGGCUCACCAAUUGCCUCUCCAGAAAUCAAUAAAUCUAGACUGUACAUCACUAACCUUCCACGGACCAUGAACGCAGAUAAGCUGGUUGAACUUUUUGUGCCCUUUGGACGGAUCAGCAAAGUCGUGAUCAAUCCGGAGUAUAGCCUAAUGUUCUAUGCAGAUGUAGCGUCAGCGAUCACGGCUGCCGAACGCAUGGAUGGGUACCUUAUUGGUGGAAAGAGGCUAGUUGUCAGGGGAUCAGACUCUUGUCAAACCAAUGCAGCAGAGCAAGCUUUAUCACAGCCAGCUGGCAAGCCCAUGAAAGAAAUUGAUAUGGCCAAUGUGUAUGUUGGCAGCAUCCCGCCAACGGUAACCGGCGAUCAGUUGGUCGAGCUUUUCCGACCAUUUGGAAAAAUUGUGCAAUCUAGGCUGUUUCAUGGGUAUGGCAUGGUUAGGUACAGCUACCCUUCAUGUGCUACUGCUGCAAUUGAUCAUAUGGAUGGUUACAAAAUUGGAGGACGUACCCUGGUUGUGAGAGUAGCAGGCCUUCCUAAUCCCGGGGAUUGUCUAACACUACCGGCGCCUGGGAACGAGCAGAGGCAAAUUGACAUGACCAACCUAUAUGUCUGCCAUCUCCCGCUCCAUGUAACCACUGAAAAGCUGAUUGAAAUCUUUCUGCCAUGCGGCCAAAUCACUCAAGCAAAGGUGGUCAUCGACUGGCACACUAGUGCGAGCAGGGGGUUCGGGUUUGUCAAAUUUGCUGAUGCUUAUGGCGCUGCUGUGGCUCUCACUCACAUGAACGGUUGCCCGCUGGAGGGGCACAUCUUGGGGGUUAGAAUAGCCGGUGUCCAUCCGAGUGAUAUGGACAGCUACAUGAUGCGUCUCUACUCCCAGUUCACAUUGCCUGACCCCUCAGUGAUGGCGGUUGGAAUACCAACAUCGUCGUACUGGCCGUACUAUUGUGCUGAAUCGGCAUACACGGAGGGGCAAGGAGCUGAUGCUGCUUCUCAAACAUCUCAGGAGGAAUCUGUAUCGGCCAGUUCAUUUGCUGAGAAGGGUUGUUCUUCUGUGUCAAGCCAUGUUGCCGACCGUUCUCAGCAACAUUCUUCAGCAGGUUGGGCUGGUCCGCCUGGCUUCAGUCCCCAUGCUGCCCCCAAGAAGAAUACCGCCACUGUGAUGAAACCUUCCCAGCCUUGCUCCAAGGUCCAUUUGGCACAGUCAGGAGGCAGCCAGAAAAGACGCUCAGUCGUCUAG
rnacentral:rRNA from 1 species